rnacentral:rRNA from 1 species
UACAGAGGGUGCGAGCGUUAAUCGGAAUUACUGGGCGUAAAGCGUGCGUAGGCGGUUCGCUGUGUCCGAUGUGAAAGCCCCGGGCUUAACCUGGGAAUGGCAUUGGAAACUGGCGGGCUUGAGUGCGGCAGAGGGGGGUGGAAUUCCGCGUGUAGCAGUGAAAUGCGUAGAGAUGCGGAGGAACACCGAUGGCGAAGGCAGCCCCCUGGGUCGACACUGACGCUCAGGCACGAAAGCGUGGGGAGCAAACAGG